UACAGAGGGUGCAAGCGUUAAUCGGAAUUACUGGGCGUAAAGCGUGCGUAGACGGUAGCGUAAGUCGGGUGUGAAGGCCCCGGGCUCAACCUGGGAAUGGCAUUCGAGACUGCUCUGCUGGGGUGCGGAAGAGGGGAGCGGAAUUUCCGGUGUAGCGGUGAAAUGCGUAGAUAUCGGAAGGAACACCAGUGGCGAAGGCGGCUACCUGGACAGAUACUGACACUGAGGCGCGAGAGCGUGGGGAGCAAACAGG
rnacentral:rRNA from 1 species